UACGUAGUGGGCGAGCGUUGUCCGGAUUUACUGGGCGUAAAGGGUGAGUAGGCGGUUAUAUAUGUCAGGUGUAAAAAGCUAUGGCUUAACCAUAGUAAGCACUUGAAACUGUAUGACUUGAGUGCAGGAGAGGUAAGCGGAAUUCCUAGUGUAGCGGUGAAAUGCGUAGAUAUUAGGAGGAACACCGGUGGCGAAGGCGGCUUACUGGACUGUAACUGACGCUGAGUCACGAAAGCGUGGGUAGCAAACAGGAUUAGAUACCCUGGUAGU
rnacentral:rRNA from 1 species